rnacentral:lncRNA from 1 species
GUUCCCAGGCUAGGGGUCGAAUUGGAGCUACAGCUGCUGGCCUACACCUGAGCUACAGCAACGCCAGAUCCGGGCCUCAUCUGCGACCUACACCACAGCUCACAGCAACGCUGGAUCCUUAACCCACUGAGCAAGGCCAGGGAUCAAACCCGAAACCUCAUGGUUGCUAGUCAGAUUCGUUUCCACUACACUACGACAGAAACUCCAAGGUUUCAGAAUAUUAAGAAAAGCAAUAAAAGAAGAUCGGAAUCCUGUUUUUUUCAGACUACUGAAAAAAGGACAUUUACUCUAUUAAAUGUUUAGUAAGCUAAUAAGUAAAUAUAUCAAGUUUGUUUGGACUAUCAUAAAUUCUAAAACUCUCUUGAAGAACUUAGUAUGUUAAAAAUUUUUAAAACUUUGAUAAUAUUAGGUUUACUGGUAUGAUUUAAAAGUUCCUAAGUACCUUAUUCAGAUCUGUUCUGUUGCAUUUGUUGAAGGUGAUGGUGAAGGGAGGAAAUGAUCAAUGCUCCAGGAAUCUCAAACGGAUUUAGGGAUCACUCCAAGGCUCCAUAAGAGAACAUCACAGAGAAGAUGUUAAGGUAUCAAUUUAUGCAAUGACUGCAACACAGUAAAGCCAACAUUAUAUCCCAUAGGUGAUUGGAUAGCUAGGGCAAAGUUUAAAAUGAGAACUUGCCUUGAGAUAUCCAUUCUAAGCAUGGUAGCAAGCAGAGAGGGCUCACUAUGAAGUAAACUAUUGUGCUGGUAGUUCCCCCAGAUUUAUUCUGGAUGGUACUGUUCAGCUCCAGUUUCUGUUUAUUAAUUGGUGUGGUGAGAGAUUUCUGGUUGCUUGGAAACAUAGCUUAGAAAAGAAUGCUUGAAGGCAUUCUAAAUGUGUAAGGGCCAUUUAUACCAAUGUUCCUUCAGAUCCUCCUUAUUCUUCAUGAUGGAAUCCUGGGCUUUCCAUAUGACAUAUUCCAGUUACUUGCUGGGAUUACUAGGGUAGAUUACUGGGAUCUAGGAUGGAGUGUAAUUAUCUCCUAGGGCUUGAUAGCAGAGUAAUGAAAGAGAUGGGAUAUGUUUACAUGAAUGAAGGAAAACAGACUUGGAAAACCAGUGUUGAUAGCCUGUGCCUUCUAAGCACCAUUAUAAGUCUUAUAGUUCCUAUCAUGAACUGAGGGACAGUGUCUUCCACUUGAGUGAUCUUCCCUAUGGACUAAUGCUGGUCAGUACACUGGACCUUGGCUUGCUGGGUGUUAAUGGAAUUCCUUUUGUGCCGUCUGUCAUUUGUGUAGGCACUUAACUGCUACCAGGAUAUUUGUGGUAUUGGAGGACACAGGAAAACAGAGGAAUCAAAGAGAAGAGGGCAUAAUUAUUAGAGAAGACAGGAUAUUUGAGUGUGAAAUAUGCUAAGUUGGAUAUAACUUAUUCUGUGGUGAUAUGGAAGAUGAACCAGUUGGAUUCUCUGUAUUAGGCAAAAUAGGUAAAGCAGAUAUCCUUUGGGUACUAAGUUGAUGUGUUCAGUUUGAUCCAGCAGUUUAAGAAUCGCAAGUGGAGGAUAGGUGAAACUUAAAACUAGAGGGCAUGCACUUCCAAGAGAGGACAUGCUAACUACUUGUGGGAGAUGAUGAUAACACUUGUAGACAUCUAAAAAUUCCCCUAUUCCAGAACUGCUAACACCUUAUCUGGCAUCUUGUGGAUUCCUUGACCAUAAAGGAAGUUUCUUCCAAAUACUACUGUUAGGCCCUCAAAUAUUCAUUUUUGAGUAUUCUUGCAGGCAGUGUUGCAGAGGUGAGAGAGCACUAAUCAGGUGUUCACAGGAUGUCACGUUAAAGUAAUGAUAAGCUGUCAACCCACUAGACCAUAGUCCUAUCUAUGAAGUCAUGCAAGAAGUUGUGGGCAAUGUAUAUGGGACCAUUGUAUAUUAUAUUGUAUAUUGUAUGACUUACAAGCAAAAUCAUCAAAUAGACACCUUAGACUAAGUCAGAAGAUCUGUGGUUAUAUGCGGAUCAAUAUUAGGCGGGAACAGUCACAGUUACAGUCUCAUUUCAUUGAAACUCACACUUACUCUGGAAGUAGGCCUCAUUAUUUUUCUUACCUACCUGUGUGGCUCUGUAUGGGCUGAGAAGAGUCAGGUAAAUUGAAUAUUGAGUUGAUGCACUCAAGAAGGCUUAGGCUGGGACAUGGGCUCUGAGGCACAGGCCUUUUAUUCCCCCCAUAGUUGCACCUGUGAUUGGCACAUAACUCUUUAGAUCUAGGGAGUUCCGAAACUGAAGUAAAGACAGUAGUUGGUUAGGUUGUGGGCCUCCAACUAGGAUGACUUAAAAUCAUGAAGUAGCUUGGGUAGAAGGUGACAGUACUAACCAUUUAUCAGACUAUUUCCUGGGCAUUGUGGUAGGAAUGGUCUUCUGGCUCUCUGACUGCUCCACAUCUGAGUGAGUGUGUAGUUGUAGUGUCAGACUACAUUAGUGUAACCUUGAGUUAUGGUGGGGAGGCCAUAACUUGGUCCAUAAAGCUGCUGUAUGAUAAUCUAUAACUGCCUCCUAAAGGCAGUUCCCUCCUAUCCAUAGUUCUACCAGAUGUAGAACAACUGUUCUUGCUGGUGAGGUAUGGGAGUCUGUAAACCUUGAUGGGUCCUUGCCCUCAUCUUUGACCAGAAUGAGUAGUAUCAGUGGACGUAAAAGGGUGUGGACCUAUUGGCAGUCAUGUGUCUGCAAAAGUCAACUAGUUCAGGGAGCUUAGGGUUGGGGGAAUCUAGGACACAAGUUGGGGUAAACAAGAGUACAGGUUAGGGGGAUUAAUUCUGGAAGAAUACCAUAGAGUCCCUUAUAGAACUAAGAGUAUGAAAUAUAUCAUUUCAGCACAACACAGCUGGCUCUGCCUCUUCCUUUUUUUUUUUUUUUUUAAUCUUUUUGGUCUUUUUGUCCUUUUAGGGCCACACCCACGGCACAUGGAGGUUCCCUGGCUAGAGGUCUAAUUGGAGCUGUUGCUACCAGCCUACGCCAGAGCCACAGCAACACCAGAUCCAAGCCUGAGUCUGUAACCUACACCACAGCUCAUGGCAACGCCAGAUCCUUAACCCACUGAGUGACGCCAGGGGUCGAACUCACAACCUUAUGGUUCCUAGUUGGAUUUAUUUCCACUGCGCUACAACGGGAACUCCAGCCCCUUCCUUUUGAAGGAGCUUUGGAUAGGACUGGUUAACUUCUAUCAGUAAUAACAUGCUAAAUUUGGAGGUUAGUAUUGCUGGGAGGGCCAGAACAGUAACAACCAAGUUAAUUAAGGUUAAUUAGUGGGCAGACACAACCUAGAAUAGAUUUACAAGGAGAUCCCGCUGAAUAGCAUUGAGAACUAUGUCUAGAUACUCAUGUCGCAACAGAAGAAAGGGUGGGGGAAAAAACUGUAACUGCAAUGUAUACAUCUAAGGAUGACCUGACCCCCUUGCUGUACAGUGGG